rnacentral:rRNA from 1 species
UACGGGGGGGGCAAGCGUUGUUCGGAAUUACUGGGCGUAAAGGGCGCGUAGGCGGUUCGCUAAGUUGGAUGUGAAAACUCUGGGCUCAACCCAGAGCCUGCAUCCAAAACUGGCGGGCUAGAGUUCUGGAGGGGGUAGCGGAAUUCCUGGUGUAGCGGUGAAAUGCGUAGAUAUCAGGAGGAACACCGGUGGCGAAGUCGGCUACCUGGACAGAAACUGACGCUGAGGCGCGAAAGCUAGGGGAGCAAACAGG